rnacentral:tmRNA from 1 species
GGGGAUGCAAUGGCUUCGACGGGGACUUUGAAGCAUGAUAAGCGAGCAGAGGACCGUGCUGAGAACUCUUAAAACCGCACGCGUUUUAAAAUUAGACGACAACGAUAAUUUUGAACUGAUGGCUGCCUAAGGCACCGUCCGUCCGCCCCUGAGGACUGCGGCAGGGAAUCGGGCGUCGUGAAGCAGUGAACGCCUUUCGGGAGCCGCCUGCGGCCCGAUCGGUGUACAGCGGGCUACCGGAGGUAUAAGGGUGCCUUUCCCCGUAUACUCCCGGGAAUCUUAAAUGACAGGCUGCGCUCGGAGAAGUUCGUGUGGAUCGGUUUUCGGACACGGGUUCGAUUCCCGUCAUCUCCACCA